UACAGAGGGGGCCAGCGUUAUUCGGAAUUAUUGGGCGUAAAGGGCGCGUAGGCGGCCAUGCGUGUCUUCCGUGAAAUCCCUCGGCUUAACUGAGGACGUGCGGAAGAAACUGCAAGGCUAGAGUCCGGAAGGGGCGAGUGGAACUCCUGGUGUAGCGGUGGAAUGCGCAGAUAUCAGGAAGAACACCAACGGCGAAGGCAGCUCGCUAGGACGGUACUGACGCUGAGACGCGAAAGCGUGGGGAGCGAACAGG
rnacentral:rRNA from 1 species